UACGAAGGGUGCAAGCGUUACUCGGAAUUACUGGGCGUAAAGGGUGCGUAGGUGGUUGUUUAAGUCUGUUGUGAAAGCCCGGGGCUCAACCCCGGGAGGCGGGCGGAUACUGUCGGGCUAGAGUCCGGAAGAGGCGAGUGGAAUUCCUGGUGUAGCGGUGAAAUGCGCAGAUAUCAGGAGGAACACCAAUAGCGAAGGCAGCUCGCUGGGACGGUACUGACGCUGAGACGCGAAAGCGUGGGGAGCAAACAGG
rnacentral:rRNA from 1 species